UCUGCAGUAGCUGUGCCUGCAUCUCUGGAAGGGGACGAUCGCCUAAACAGUUUUAACCCCUUGUGUGCUGAAACGGUCCGUUACAAGUUCCUGAUCCAAUUAUCUCCCAGGCACAGAGGAGGGAUUAUCUGAUUUUGUAUGGGAGUGUCCUGGACCUGAGAGCCAAUGUGAUUGUGUAUUUAUUUCUACUGUGGUUUACUCUCAGGUUCAAGGGGGAGUGCCCCUUGCAUGGGGACUGUCAUAACAGGCCAGUUGUGGCUACCAUUAGACUAAGAUUCUUUUUACCCUUCAUGAAGUCUAGGCUCAUGUUUGGUGGAUUAGGGAUUGCUAUAAUCACUAUACUCCCUUGGAUCACAACAAUUACUAUUGUAAGAGCAGCCUGCUUUGCUCUCUGGACUAGGAGAGGUCUACCCACUGGAAGCUGGAUCCUGGUCUUGGGUCUAUGGUGGGUGGAGGACAGCGAGACCCCAACCAAGCAAGUGUUGUGGAAAACCCCACAAAAGUUACAUCCCCUGAUAUGGAUGACCAACAU